CAGAACUUGUGACUCUGGCUGUAGCUUUCCACAUGUGUUACAGGGCCCCAACACUCAGCCUUACACAGGAGGUUGUCAUGACAGGACUAGCCUGUACAUAUUUUGACUAAGGACAGCAGGGUUGUCAAGCCUGAAGACCAAGUUAGUAAACUUGGGCACCUUACUGAACUGGGGUAAAAAGUGGGGUCGUUACACCCAAAGACAAGCUGAAAGCAAACUCCCUUGCUAAGCUUCUUUUAAGUUACCAGUGAAGAGUGAGCUGAACUCUUUACCCUCUGGGUAUUGACGGCAAACUGGUUCGAAUGAGCUAGCUGGGGUAAUAUAAAACCGCUCGGAUUUACAUUUUCCUCUCCCAUGACCCUGGAAGUACAGGUUUUAUAAACGUAAUGAUAAGUGUAUAAGAAAGAAAGUAAAAGCGGAUCAACAGCGAACGUAACAAAGAAUAUACACAAAAACAACCAUUAUGUAUGGAUAAGAUAAGAUAAGAUAGCAAUUGGUUAGCUGCACACAGACCUCCCAAGAAACUCUAAAAGAAUUGUACCAAGUCUAUGUGCAGUUGACAAGUCUAUGUGCAGUCAACCAAUCGCUACGUUAAUACACAUAUGCAUUGUCGUUUCAAUAUAAUUUAAAAGAAAAGGAGAUAUAAAGAACAUUAUUGGAGGUUGAUAUAGUGUUUACUUGACAGAAAAUAGUUCCACUUAUUGCAGUGUCGAAAUAAGAUGAUUUCAGUAAGAUUUUUUAAAAAUAUUAAGGGAGGAUGACUUAAUUAUAUUUUCAGGAAUUUUAUUCCACACUCUCACUCCACUAUACGUGAUGAAUUUUUGUCCUACUUCAGUUCUCUUGAAUGGAGGAAUCAAACGUGUCGGGUGAUAGGGGCUAGGCGCAAUACAUUGUGAUUUUUAAAUAUGUCUUCCAUAGUUUUUGGUAAUUGUUCAUUUUUCAGUUUCCAAAAGAAUUUACCUACGGCCAUUUCAAUGUUGAGAUCAAGGGGAAGUAUUUUGGUUUUUACAAAUAAAGGACUUACCGGUUCGUCUUGUUUACAGAAAUUAAUGAUCUGAACGCUUUUAUUGAUAGAUUUUGAUAGAUCAUUCAGAUAUCCUUGUGACGUUGUGCUCCAAAUUAGAGAACCAUAAUCAAUGAAAGGUUGAAUUUGCGCAUUGUAUAGAUUUCUCAGUAGACCUUCAGGGACAAAGUGUCUCAACUUUGCAAGUAAACAAUUACCUUUCAUUAGUUUUAGUUUGAUGUUAGCAAUUUGUUGGGAAAAAGUUAACUUAUUAUCAAUAAUUAUGCCAAGAUAUUUACUGUGUUCCUUCUCCUCAAUUUGUAGACCAUUAAUAUAGAUUUUAGAAUCAAGAAGUGCAUUGGCAUUUUUAGGAGGAAAAAUGAGUACACUUGAUUUCUUAACAUUGAGACUUAGUUUGUUUGCAGUCAGCCAAUCAGAUAAUUUAGUUCAAGAUUUAAGACUUUUUCAAGUGUUUGUCUGUUUUUAUGCGAGAAGAAUAUACUGGUGUCAUCUGCAAAUAAAUAAAAUUGAAGAACUGGAGAAGCUGUGACAAUGUCAUUUAUGUAGAGUAAGAAAAGAAGUGGACCUAGUACACUGCCUUGAGGGACUCCAUUCUCUAUAUUUAUGAAGUGUAAAUUGCUGUUUUUCACUGAUACACAUUGAGUGCGAUUUGUAAGGUAUGAGGGAAACCAAUCUAGUGCUAGGCCUCUAACACCAUAAAAAUUUAGUUUUUGAAUAAGUAUACGAUGGUUAACAGUAUCGAAAGCUUUAGCAAAGUCUAAAAAGAUAGCACAUGGUAUCUCUCCCUUUUCCAGUCUUUCCACAAUAUUUGCCUCAAGAUCUAAAAUGGCUUGCUCUGUUGACUUUUUUUUUUGGAAUCCAUAUUGCUUACUGUGUAAAAGAUUCAUUUUGGUUACAAAGUUGUAUAGACGAUCAAACAUAACCUUUUCAAAGAUCUUACUUACUACAGGGAGUAAGGAGAUUGGCCUAUAAUUAGAGACAUCCAGUUUUGAAUUUCCUUUGUGUACGGGGAUUACUUUGCUGUUUUCAAUAACGAUGGAUAUUUCCCCAGCUCAAAAGACAUUUAUAAUUUGAGCAAUAGGACUGCUGAUUGCAGGCGCUGCGAUUUUUAAAAAUUUUGGUGAGAUACCAUAAAUAUCAGCUGCCUUUUUGGAGUCUAACUUGCAGAGUAGUAAAUAAACUUCACCUGGAUCUACUUCUGUCAAAAAAUACUGUACCUUCUGUCCACAACCUCAAUAUCUCUUUGUUGGCAUGGGCAAUUAUACAUUGAGUUAAAACUCAUUUUUAGAAGAUUUUCAGAAGAUUCAUUUACAAAUGGAAAUAUGUUUUCACUACAACACAAGCAUCUCCAAUCUUUAAAGUAGUUUUUUGGAAGACUAUUUAUCUCAACGAUAGGUAUUCCUGAGCAUUUUCUAUGAAUAAAACAUUUACAAAUACUACAUGCUGGAGAGUUACUAACAUUGUUACUUUUAACCUUUUUCCGACACAUGGUACAAGUAUCACUAUAUUUCUCAGUCAGUGGUUAUUGGUUGUCUGUGAAUAAAUCUUGUGAUAAGUGAGAGAAUGGGAAAACAUAGCAUUUGAAGCUGUGCCAAGGAUCACUUCACAUUUUUCUUUUGAGAAUAUUGUAAGAAUGUAAAGAGACUUUAGAACAUUUAAGAUGAUACCAAGUGUUACACCCCAGACCAUCACAGCGCAGCGCAUUAUGAUGAUUAAAUACUGGUUGAGAGCACUUACCACACUUGCUAUUUGCACAAAAGUUACAAGAGAAAAUACUAUUUUGAUCGCUACUUAAUUUUUUGAAUCCCUUCAGAGAGACACCGCUACAUCGAAGGUGAAACCAAAAAUCGCAGCUGUCGCAACAUACAGAAUUUUGAUUUUCACCUACCUUUUUCCUACAUUUUGGACAUUUGUUUUUAUCAGCCAUUAUCAGACGAGUUUAUCUUCAUCACUUUUACACCUUAUGACAAUAUAUUUACCAUUUUUGGCCUUUUUUGCUCGAACUUGACCAUUGUAUAUGUAAGCAGGAAACUCAAACUCAAGUCCUUCUGUCUUCUCUCUCGUCAGCUUUAAUAAGUCAGCAUUAUACUUGGUCAAGGAUUCUUGGAAGUGGAUAAAAGGCUUUUUGCCUUCAAACUUUUUUUCUUCAUCUUCAACAUAUUCAUUUUCACCAUAAAAACCAUAGGUGAUCAUAUCUUUUACUUCUUUCAUUUUUCGUUUCUGUUGAAAAAAAGCCAUACGGUUAGCCUUGUGCUUGAAUCUAAUGAUUAUCGGACUGAAUUUUGAUAAGCUGGUUCGAUGACAUACAUCUACUUGAUCAGGAUGAAAUUGAUCAAUUGCUGCAGUAUCAGCAAUUUUAGAUAUCACUUUUAGUGUAGCAGAGUUCGUUGAUUCAGAUUGAUCUUCCUCCCCAAUUUGGAAAGGAACUCCAACUAUUUUCACGUUAAGACUCGUUCUGUGAUAUUGCAUUUCUUCAUUCCUCGUGGCUUUCUCCUGUUCCAUUUCAUGUUGCAGUGCUUUCAGUUGAUUUUUCAGAAUGUUAUUCUCCUUUUCUAUUCUUGUAUUUAUGGUUACUAUGUUGUUUGUAACUUUCUUGCUCUUUUCAUACGCAUUCGAUAAAUAGGUCUGGCUUUUUUCAAUCUCAGUAACAUCUGAUUUCAAUUUUACAAUAUCUUGCUGGAAAGUUGAUUCUAGUUUUUCCAGUUUCGUUGCAAUGUUUUUCACAUCGGAAGAAAGCUCAGUGAAGUUUUUCGUUCUCUCAAGUAAAAUGGCUAUAUCAGCUUUAAGUUCUUCCAUUACUUCUGAUAUUAAGGCAAUUAUAUCAAUAUAAGUUAUAAAAAUAAAACUGGCAUCGUGUUGCACAUCUCGGGAGCAUGACCACGCAACUCGGCCGCCAUCAUGAUUCGAUAUGGUUUUCUGGUUGUGCACAUAAAUAUAGUUACAAAACUAAUUAUUUAAUAUGCUUAAAAUAUAUAAAUAUAAUAUUAACGUACUUACAAAAACAAGAUGUUUUUUCUGAAAUAUGUUCAGAAUUGGCGAGACGCAAACGCGGGCUACUUUUAAAUAAAAAUAUUAUAAUAAUGGAAAGAGCUGAUUGAUUAAAACCAGCAUAGAAAGUGUUGCGGAGAGGUUGCCAAGGCAAAGGCAUUAAGGAAAGGGCACGGCAAUAUAUUAAGCGUUGCACGGCAAAGGCAGGCAAGGAAACAGGAAGAGGAAUCAGCAAGGCAGGGGUAGGCAAGGCAUGGGAGGCACAGGCAAGGGCAUAGCAGGCAGGCACCAGAAAAGGCAUAGGAAAGGAAGGAAUUUAUUAAAAACGACAAGGAAAGGGAGCGACAAAGGCAGGCAAGAAAACAGGAAGAGGAAUCAGCAAGGCAUGGGAGGCACAGACAAGGGCAUAGUAAGCAGGCAACAGAAAAGACAUAGAAAGGGUGGGCAAUGGCAAAGGAACGGCAAGGCAGGGUCAGGCAUUUAAAUAUACACUCCUUCCCCUUCUACAACUCGAAGAUUACGUAUAUUUAAUUAAGGUAUUAUAAGGUCAAUAUACAGAAUUUUAUCAGUAUAAUACAACGGGGUUGUUGUAGGUGCAAGAUAAUGUUUUUCAUGCCCUGUCCAGGAUUCGAACCUGGAUCUCUCGUUUACGAGUGUCAUAGCCAUUAGACUAACAAGGCGUAAUAAUUAUGUAAUUUUGUUAAUUAAAUAUACUUAAAUA